UGAACACAGCCACAUACAGGAGGAAUAUGAUGUGAAGACAAAGGGAGAAGACAGCCAUCUAUAAGCUAAGGACACGGACCUGGAACAGAUCCUUCCCUCCCAGCCCUCAGACAGAACCAACUCUGCAGAUCAACCAACACCUUGACUUUCAGCCUCCAGAACUCGAUAAGGAAAAAGAUUGACAAAAGAAACUAUAAGCAAGCAUGCUGUUUUGAGUCGCCGGAGGAUAGAGACGGCCCAAGAAGAAUUUCAAGAGAACUGCUAAUGAGAAACCUUCCGUGGUGAGACUUGAACUGACAAGCUAUUCCCCCAGGCUCCUCGGGAACAUCUCAUAACUAAUCGGGACAUUCCAUCAAGACCACAUGCACAGGGCCACAGCCUAGACAGCAGAGCAUCCAAACCGCCAAAGAAAAUGUUGAGGCUGCACCAAUAAGGGACUUUGUGCAAUGCCUCUUUUAUUGAAAAAAUCUAUUUAAAUGAAAUC
rnacentral:lncRNA from 1 species